ensembl:lncRNA
AUGGAGCGACAUUGUCCCGCGAGGGGUCGCGGUCAAGGGUCAGUAGAUGGGUGGAAGGCGGCCUGGGGGGCCUCCUUCACCCCUAUAUCUUUGUUUUCUGAAGUAGUCGCCCUCUUGCAUCCCCAAAGAAAAAGAGAAAGAGGCCGACCCCUCCCUCGCCCCCCAGGAGUGGCCGCGGAGGGCCCCCAGCGCCGCUCCUCCCGUCUCCCGUGGCAACCAGAGGCUUCCAGCCCCUAUCAACCGGCAGCCUGUCGUCUCCUCCCGGGCUGGUCCAGAGUUCGGAGGGUUCCAGCUCUCAGCCCGCGUCCCCUUCCGGGAAAGAGAUCGCCAGCCCCCUCUCCACGCCCGCUCCCAUCUCCACCCCGGGACUCUGGCUGGGGAAGGGGGAACCCGGCGAGGCAGGUGCCAGCAGCCCACACCCUCCCGGGGUCGCCCCGCCGAACCACGGGACCGGGAGGCGAGGCUGCCCGGCCAAAACACCCCGCGCUGGGGACCGCGCCCGGCGCCCGCCGCAGCCCCUACCUGCUGGACAAGGGUGCCCCGCAGCCGGGACCCCGGGAGUCGACUCCGAGUGCGCCCCGCGAGGGUGCGCGGCGCGCUGCUGCCCUGCGCUUCCCCGGGGCCGUGGCGCGCUCGGGGCGGGCGCGCCGGGCGCACCCGGGGCCGGUGAGCGCCGUUCUCGUCCCGGCCGGCGGUGCGGGCUGGGCGGCCGGGGUCCGGGUUCCGCGGCCGCGCUCGGGCUCCCGGGCGCCGCUCCGGCCGCCGGGGCUCCGCGGGGCCCGCCUCCGUCCGGGCCGGCCGCCGCCUCCUUCCCACGCGCUCGCGCGCCGGGACCGCGCCUCUCUGCUCUCGCUGCGCCUCCGGUCCCCCCUCCGGCUUCUCCCGCCUCCCGCCUCGCAGGCCAAUCUAAGAACGGGGCUCACUCUUCAAACUUCUGCGUCCGGGCUCGGCCAGAAGCGGGGCAGCGAGACCGGAACGCGGGGGAGGCGGCCCGGGCGCGGGGCCCCUGCGCGGUGGCCCGGGGCUGCGACCUGGAGCGGGCAUCCCCCGUGA